GAUGAACGCUGGCGGCGUGCCUAAUACAUGCAAGUCGAGCGAACAGACGAGGAGCUUGCUCCUCUGACGUUAGCGGCGGACGGGUGAGUAACACGUGGAUAACCUACCUAUAAGACUGGGAUAACUUCGGGAAACCGGAGCUAAUACCGGAUAAUAUAUUGAACCGCAUGGUUCAAUAGUGAAAGACGGUUUUGCUGUCACUUAUAGAUGGAUCCGCGCCGCAUUAGCUAGUUGGUAAGGUAACGGCUUACCAAGGCGACGAUGCGUAGCCGACCUGAGAGGGGGAUCGGCCACACUGGAACUGAGACAGGGUCCAGACUCCUACGGGAGGCAGCAGUAGGGAAUCUUCCGCAAUGGGCGAAAGCCUGACGGAGCAACGCCGCGUGAGUGAUGAAGGUCUUCGGAUCGUAAAACUCUGUUAUUAGGGAAGAACAAAUGUGUAAGUAACUAUGCACGUCUUGACGGUACCUAAUCAGAAAGCCACGGCUAACUACGUG
rnacentral:rRNA from 1 species